CGAUAAGCUAUGAUCGGGAAGAGUAGACCUAGCACUACCUAUCAGAGAGGGAAAUCCAUCGGCUGAGAGAUUUCCUAAGGAACCUAGAUCGAACGUCGCCCGAAAGCUGUCUUCCUGAACAGAUGGUAGUUUGUAUAGCCAUAGUAAGGUAGACCGGAAGCCAAUCCGUUAACAGGCCCUAAGUGCAUGAGCUGGAUACGAAUGUUUGCUGAUGAAUAAAGGUGGUACCGCGAAAACAACUCUUUCGUCCUUUGA
rnacentral:ncRNA from 1 species